GGUGGCAUAGCUCAGUGGUAGAGUGUGUGCUUAGCAUGCACAAGGUCCUGGGUUCAAUUCCCAGUACUUCCA
rnacentral:tRNA from 1 species